AUACGGAGGGAGCAAGCGUUAUUCGGAAUCACUGGGCGUAAAGGACGCGUAGGCGGGUUUGUAAGUCAGGUGUGAAAUCCUACAGCUCAACUGUAGAACUGCACUUGAAACUACAGACCUAGAGUAUGGAAGGGGCAGAUGGAAUUAGUGGUGUAGGGGUAAAAUCCGUAGAUAUCACUAGGAAUACCGAAAGCGAAGGCGAUCUGCUGGGACAUUUCUGACGCUGAGGCGUGAAAGCGUGGGGAGCAAACAGGAUUAGAUACCCUAGUAGUCC
rnacentral:rRNA from 1 species